UGGAUGAGCACCUGGUUCCAUUCAGAGGUACAUUUCAUAUCUGUAAUGUCGCUGUCCUUUAUGGCAGUAUAUGCCCAGCAAGCCAGCAAAGUAUGGCAUCAAGAUAUGGGUGGUUUGUGAUGCACAAUCCAGCUACGCUUGGAAGAUGCAAGUCUACACAGGGAAGCCGACCAGUUGAGGCCCGGAGAAGAACCAGGAGAUGCGGGUUGUGAUUGAUGUGACAGGGGGACUGAGGGGGCACAAUGUCACGUGUGACAAUUUCUUCCUCUUAUGAACUCAGCUCCUGAAGAGGAAGCUCACCAUGGUUGGCACAGUUAGAAAGAACAAGCCUGAGCUCCCCCUGCAGUCCUCGCAACAAGGGGGAGAGAGGCCUUUCAUCAAAGUUUGCCUUCACCCCCACUCUAGUUUCUUACCUCCCAAAGAGGAACAAGAAUGUGGUCCUCCUGAGCACACUGCACAAAACGGCUGAGAUCAGUGAUCGUGAGGACAGGAAGCCAGCCAUCAUCCUGGACUACAACCACAACAAAGGAGGUGUGGACAACCUGGACAAGGUGAUUGGAACUUACAGCUGCAGGAGGAUGACUGGCCCCUGGUCAUCUUCCAUAACAUCAUUGAUGUGUCCUCAUACAAUGCCUCUGUGAUAUGAAACAAGAUCAACCCUACCUGGAUGCCUGAUCAGCGGAACAUGAGGAGGGUGUUCCUGGAGCAGCUGGGAAAGGCACUUGUAACCCCACACAUUUCAAAAAAGGAGCAACUCCGAGUCACAGCAGUCUCUGCAGCGCUUGUGAAAGCUGUUCAGGGGGCUGAAUCUUGUCCUGAUCCACCGGAGGCUGCAGCUGGGGCAGGCAAGAGGAGGAGAUGCCAAUUCUGCCCCCCAAAGAAGGACUGUAAAACAAAUACUAUGUGCUGCACAUGUGAGAAAUACAUCUGCAAAGUCCAUGCACACACACUUGCAUACUGUCCUACAUGUGCUAAUUAGAGUUGAUUGAUUUAUUUUCUUCACGUUUUUGUUUUGUAUCUAUCUUAUUUUAUUCUAAUUGUUGUUACACCUUGUGGUCAGGGGCAAUGGUUAAAACAUGGGAGAAGAAUAGUAUUUUUGUAGUUGAAUUCCUCAUUAUACAGUAGAUAAGAACAUAUGACUUUGUUGCCAAAAAUGUUCAAGACCGUUGUUUCCCUUUAAUAAAAUGCAUUCUGCACA